rnacentral:rRNA from 1 species
AGGAUGAACGCUGGCGGCGUGCUUAACACAUGCAAGUCACGGGGGUUUGAGGCGCAAGCCUUGGGCAACCGGCGAACGGGUGCGUAACACGUGAGCAACCUACCGAAAUGAGGGGGAUAGCCGGCCCAACGGCCGGGUAAUACCGCAUACGCUCGAGACUAGGCAUUUGGACUCGAGGAAACCUCCGGGGCAUUUCGAGGGGCUCGCGGCCUAUCAGCUAGUUGGUGAGGUAACGGCUCACCAAGGCGACGACGGGUAGC